GACCGGGUGAGUAACACGUGACUAACCUACCUUUGAGUGGGGGAUAACAUCGGGAAACCGAUGCUAAUACCGCAUAACAUCGCAAGAUCAAAGCAGCAAUGCGCUUAAAGAGGGGGUCGCGGCUGAUUAGCUAGUUGGCGGGGUAACGGCCCACCAAGGCGAAAUCGGUAUCCGGCCUGAGAGGGCGCACAGGACACACUGGAACUGAAACACGGUCCAGAGUGCCUACGGGAGGCAGCACGUGGGGAAUUUUGCGCAAUGGGGGAAACCCUGAACGCAGCAAACGCCGCGUGGAGGAUGAAGUCCCUUGGGACGUAAACUCCAUUUACGACAAGACGAUAAUGACGGUACUGGUGGAAGAAGCACGGC
rnacentral:rRNA from 1 species